AGCUCGACCGGGUCGACCGCGCGCGUCACCAGCAGGUAGUCGCGGAUGCAGAUGCCGUGCCUGCCCUC
rfam:Amycolatopsis australiensis strain DSM 44671 genome assembly, contig: Ga0074771_106